rnacentral:rRNA from 1 species
GACGAACGCUGGCGGCGUGCUUAACACAUGCAAGUCGAACGGUGAAGCGCCUUCCUUUUUGGUGGGUGUGGAUGAGUGGCGAACGGGUGAGUAACACGUGAGUAACCUGCCCCCUUCUUCUGGAUAACCGCAUGAAAGUGUGGCUAAUACGGGAUAUUCUGGGUCUGUCGCAUGAUGGGUCUGGGAAAGAUAUUGUUUCGGUGGGGGAUGGGCUCGCGGCCUAUCAGCUUGUUGGUGGGGUGAUGGCCUACCAAGGCGGUGACGGGUAGCCGGCCUGAGAGGGUGGACGGUCACACUGGGACUGAGACACGGCCCAGACUCCUACGGGAGGCAGCAGUGGGGAAUAUUGCACAAUGGGCGCAAGACUGAUGCAGCGACGCCGCGGGAGGGAUGGAGGCCUUCGGGUUGUGAACCUCUUUCGCCAGUGAAGCAGGCCUGCCUCGUUUGUGGGUGGGUUGACGGUAGCUGGAUAAGAAGCGCCGGCUAACUACGUG